CCCCCUUAGGUAGCGGGCGAGCGAAGCGGGAAGAGCUCAAAUUUAUAAUCUGGCACCUUCGGUGUCCGAGUUGUAAUCUCUAGAAGUGUUUUCCGCGUUGGACCGCACACAAGUCUGUUGGAAUACAGCGGCAUAGUGGUGAAACCCCCGUAUAUGGUGCGGACGCCCAGCGCUUUGUGAUACACUUUCAAUGAGUCGAGUUGUUUGGGAAUGCAGCUCAAAUUGGGUGGUAAAUUCCAUCUAAAGCUAAAUAUUGGCGAGAGACCGAUAGCGAACAAGUACCGUGAGGGAAAGAUGAAAAGCACUUUGGAAAGAGAGUUAACAGUACGUGAAAUUGUUGGAAGGGAAACGCUUGAAGUCAGACUUGCUUGCCGGAGCUUGCUUCGGUUUGCAGGCCAGCAUCAGUUUUCCGGGGUGGAUAAUGACGGUUUGAAGGUAGCAGUCUCGGCUGUGUUAUAGCUUUCCGUUGGAUACAUCCUGGGGGACUGAGGAACGCAGCGUGCUUUUUGCGAAAGACUCGUCUUUUUCACGCUUAGGAUGCUGGUGGAAUGGCUUUAAACGACCCGUCUUGAAACACGGACCA
rnacentral:rRNA from 1 species